UGCCAGCAGCCGCGGUAAGACGAACCGUACAAACGUUAUUCGGAAUCACUGGGUUUAAAGGGUGCGCAGGCGGCUUGACAAGUUGGGUGUGAAAUCCCUCGGCUCAACCGAGGAACUGCGCUCAAAACUGUCAAGCUAGAGGGAGAUAGAGGUGAGCGGAACUUAGGGUGGAGCGGUGAAAUGCGUUGAUAUCCUAAGGAACACCAGUGGCGAAAGCGGCUCACUGGAUCUCUUCUGACGCUCAGGCACGAAAGCUAGGGUAGCGAACGGGAUUAGAUA
rnacentral:rRNA from 1 species